AUCCUUUCGCAGUGGCAGUAUUGUAACCUAUGAGGUUUAUCUGAGGUGCAAUUAUUGCUAGUUGAAAACUUAAACCCAAUACCCGCCUUGGCAAUUUGAAAUAUAGUUGGAAAGGCAAUUUUUGAUAGUCUCUGUAGAGA
ensembl:snRNA U4 U4 spliceosomal RNA